AUGAAGCAGUGUAGGCUUGGGACCUUGAGUGGGGCACUGCAUAAUGUUUAGGGGGCCCAGGCUGGCUUGCAGAGAGAGUGAAAAGAAGCCCCACAGCUCUUUAUUCUCCUGCCUUAGAGGAGGGAAUGGUUGCACAGGAGCUGUCCUUUCUCCGUACAGGAUUUCCUGGAACAAUUGAUGCAGCUGUCUCAACAACAACACCAACACAAGAACUAUAUUAAAGGGAGUAGGAAGUGGAGAUGGGGGUGAUGGAGCCUCAGGUCACGCACAGGAAGUGUUGCCCUACAUUCCCUUUAAGCAGACUUCAAAUCCAGCCCUUUCUCUUAGCUUUCGAGACAAGGUCAACAUAAACAAACCAGUUCAUAUGGAAUAAAUGUCAAUGCCACAGUU